rnacentral:rRNA from 1 species
UACGGGGGGGGCAAGCGUUGUUCGGAAUUACUGGGCGUAAAGGGCUCGUAGGCGGCCAACUAAGUCAGACGUGAAAUCCCUCGGCUUAACCGGGGAACUGCGUCUGAUACUGGAUGGCUUGAGGUUGGGAGAGGGAUGCGGAAUUCCUGGUGUAGCGGUGAAAUGCGCAGAUAUCAGGAAGAACACCCGUGGCGAAGGCGGUUCUCUGGGACGGUACUGACGCUGAGACGCGAAAGCGUGGGGAGCAAACAGG